rnacentral:rRNA from 1 species
CCUACGGGUGGCAGCAGUGGGGAAUAUUGCACAAUGGGGGAAACCCUGAUGCAGCGACGCCGCGUGAGGGAAGAAGUAAUUCGGUAUGUAAAGCUCUAUCAGCAGGGAAGAAAAUGACGGUACCUAAGUAAGAAGCACCGGCUAACUACGUGCCAGCAGCCGCGGUAAUACGUAGGGGGCAAGCGUUAUCCGGAUUCACUGGGUGUAAAGGGAGCGUAGGCGGUAGUGCAAGUCUGGUGUGAAAGGCGGGGGCUCAACCCCCGGACUGCUCUGGAAACUGUACGUCUGGAGUGCAGGAGAGGUAAGUGGAAUUCCUAGUGUAGCGGUGAAAUGCGUAGAUAUUAGGAGGAACACCAAUGGCGAAGGCGGCUUACUGGACUGUAACUGACGUUGAGGCGCGAAAGCGUGGGGAGCAAACAGGAUUAGAUACCCUUGUAGUC